UUUCCCUCAGGAUAGCUGGAGCCCAUUACGAGUUCUAUCAGGUAAAGCCAAUGAUUAGAGGCAUUGGGGACGCAACGUCCUCGACCUAUUCUCAAACUUUAAAUAGGUAGGAUGGCUCGGCUGCUUCGGUGAGCCGUGCCACGGAAUCGGGUGCUCCAAGUGGGCCAUUUUUGGUAAGCAGAACUGGCGAUGCGGGAUGANNNN
rnacentral:rRNA from 16 species